AAAUCUCAACCUCCUUGGUUUCUUCUGGGAGACCAAUGGGGGCUUGGACUUUGGAGGCCUUUGCUGGUGUCCCUCUCUUUUGAAGGCCCAGCUCCUCUUAAAUGAAUUAGCGGGGUCCUCUUUGCCGAUCCUCGACAUGUGAUAAGAUGUUUCCGUGUCUUGGUCUCUGGCUCUGUUGCCUUUGGGACCCGCUUCUAAUCGUCUCAACAUUGCAUCGAGACAAAUGUCUGAGCGUGUCUCCCUCUCCAGGGAAGCUCUCUCGACCUCACGAAC
rnacentral:misc_RNA from 1 species